ACAAUUUCUGGCUAAAAACAAACAAAAGAUUUAAAUUUUUUUAUUUUUUCCACUUUCGCUCCAACUUCUCGCGCUACUGGUAAAAACUCCUUCUUCCUCCUACAGUUUCUUCUUCACUCCAUUCAGUAUUGUUUUGGUUUUUCGAAUCUGGGUUCAGUUUUUUUUUUUUUUUUUUUUUUUUUUUUUUUUUUUUUUACUUGAGUUUUUUUUAAGAUAUUAGAAUUACUUUACCCUUAAAUUAAUCUAUUCAUGAAAGAGAAAUAUAUCCCAUCCCACGCUAAUUUCCCUUUCACCUCAUUUACUCUGAAAGAAGAGUCAGUCUUUGCACUGCCGAACCCACUGACGCACGCCCGUAGUCACCGGCACACCGGCGAACCGCCGCACCCAUCAAAGCACCACUGCACUGCUGCACCAUUGCGCCACCCACCACUGUACUAACUAGAAAUUUGCCCUGUUCCUCACAUGGACAAUCUGGUAAACAUAUACAAAUAUAUGGAAGUCGCAUCAGGGGUUUCUCUUUGUCUCUCAAAGUGGACGCUUGAGUAAAUAGCAGACUUAUGCUGGCGGUUCAGUUGGUGGUGCCGUCAAAUUGAACCAUGGGCUUCGUGACAUUGUGAUUAAUUGGGCAGGUGGCUUGCACCAUGCAAAAAAGUUCGAGGCCUCUAGGUUAUGUGAAUGAUACUGUUUUUGUAAUUUUGGAACUUCUCAAAAAUUCAUGAGGUAGUGUUUUUCUUCUGCCGAAUCUUGGAAAACUUGUUUUGAGUUCUAACAGGAAAAUAACUGGACAUCUUCCUGAGUUUCGAUCAAGCACCCACCCUCGUAAAAUUCUGGACCUUUCUGCCACUGCUUUAUCUGGAGAGUUGCCGUCUUCCAUUAGAAACUUUGGUUCCUUAGAGAGACUGAGGCUAUGGGGUUGCCAAUUCUCUGGAAAAAUUUAACUCAACUUCAAAUGCUUGGCAUUUCGAGUCUCAAUGUGAAAACUGGAGACAUGUGCUCCUGGUUGCCUAAGCUCAAAGAACUGACUGCCUUAGGCCAGGUCACAUUUUUGUCUUGAACUCGAUCAAUAUGAAUGAUCUGUAUUUUCUUGCUAAUAUCACUAAGAUUUCAUAUCUCAAUCUUUUUGAAAACCAUUUAACAGGUCCAAUCCCACACUGGAUUGUCAAUAUGACCCAAUUAGCUUGGUUUUAUUUGGGAGAAAAUCAUUUACAGGGUCCAACUCCACAAUGGUUUUCCCACCUUUUAUGUUUAUGUGUGAUCUUGAACUUAUUUGAUUGCUUAUAUUUAUGUGUGAUCUUGAACUUUUUACUACUCAUACUUAUUAGUUGUAAACUGUGGAUUAUGCUUUCAUGUUUCUUACGACAUGCACUAUUAUGUAGGUCCCAACUAAUUAAAUGUCGUCUUGCUUUAAUUGAUGAGUUCCGUGGGAACUCAGUGAUUGUGGCCGAUGGAACGGCAAAACCUUGUCCUAGUUGAGUGACUCAUAACAAGAAAAUGAACCGUGACAUCUACAGAAUUAGUGUUGACCAUGUUUAUAGUGAUUAUUCUUACCUAAAUCUCCCAGAAGAGACUGAUGACGUAUCACUAAGUUGGGUCAAGCGGAAGGUUAUUUUUUGGGUGGCUUGCAGAUUUAGUCUUCUUCUUUAUUGAUGAGGUUAUGACUUUGACCAAAAAGACGGAUAAUGAAUUGGUAUAAACCGAAUGGUAAUGAGAUAUAUGUAUGAGAUAAUAUCUUUCCAUAGCGAUUGCAAGGGUAAUUUGAAAGAGGAGUAUUUGGCAAGACUUGCAGCCUACAACGAUGUAGAAUUAGAUGAGAUUUGAGACAAUGGGCUAAGUUUUUAGGCUUACUUUUUUGUUGAAAGGCUAGUUAUCUACUUUUCUAUAUAAUACAUUUCUAUAUAUCUACUUUUAUUUAGCCUAUUGGUUAUUGUUAUUACAUUUCUAAAUUAUAAAUCAAUGAUUUUUUAUUCAA